rnacentral:lncRNA from 1 species
GAAAAAUGGUGUUUCCAGUCGUGUCCGUGCAUUUUCUCAUGAACCAUUCAACCAAAGCUUUUGAAAUUUUCAUAUGUUGUUACUGAUGACAAAAUAGAGGUCAAGUUCAAUAAUGACGAUUUUGACUUUUACCGUUCAGGAGUUAUGGUUCUUGAAAGAUCGUAAAAUGGCGUUUCCAUUCACUUUAUUGCAUUUACUCAUUAACCAUUCAAUCUAAGCUUUUCAAAUUUUAAUAUGUUGAUACUGAUGACAAAAUGGAGGUCAAAUUUGAUAUUGACGAUUUUCACUUUCACCAUUCAUCAGUAAUGGUUCUUGUGAUAUUGCCAGGACACAAAUAAAUGUUAAUAAAUCCGGUUUGCUGUCGUUGUGACAGCCUCUUGUUUAUGGUUGU